GAUGAGAACGUAGCGAAAUGCGAUAAGUAAUGUGAAUUGCAGAAUUCAGUGAAUCAUCGAAUCUUUGAACGCACAUUGCGCCCGCCAGUAUUCUGGCGAGCAUGCCUGUUCGAGCGUCAUUUCAACCAUCAAGCCCCAGGCUUGUGUUGGAGCCCUGCGGCUGCCGCAGCCUCCCAAAACCAGUGGCGGGCUCGCUAUCACACCGAGUGCAGUAGUUUACUCUUCGCUCAGGGCGUGUGGCGGGUGCUAGCCGUGAAACCCCCAACUUCUCAAGGUUGACCUCGGAUCAGGUAGGAAUACCCGCUGAACUUAAGCAUAUCAAUAAGCGGAGGA
rnacentral:misc_RNA from 1 species